rnacentral:lncRNA from 1 species
GCACACUUCCCAGCCUCCUCAUCAUCUUCUCCACUGUCUUCACCAUUGGUGCCUCCAUCAAGUCCUCUGUACCCCAUUCUCCCAACAGGGGCCCCUCCCACAACUAGACCCCUUAUCAUUAUACUCAGGAUUUAAGUCAGGCUGAAGGAAAAAUAGCCAUGACCUCCCAACUGCCCUUAUGUAAGGCAGGGCCUGAAUGGGUGAGGAUUUACAGCCACUCCUGGUCUAUGCCCCUUUUUUCUUCCAUAGACCUUUAUAAUUGGAAAUAUUAGAAUCCCUUGUUGUUUUUGUGUGUCUAGCUGUAAGAUUAUAUGGAAGGUGCGAAAAGAGUUUAAGAUGCAGUUUCACAAAGAGGAAUUUCUUCAUAGUGGCAGUUGGCCAUUCCCUCCACCUACAUUCCAAACCUUCCAAACUCCAGUAUGGAAGACUACAUGGGGGAAGCUGUGCCUGCGCCAUCAGCAAGCUUCCAAGCAAUACCUGUUCAAUUAUUUUUUCCUCUUUCUUCCUUGGAUGGGCCCCCAAGGGAGAAAAAAGGAGAAAAAAAAAUCCAGAGCAGAAAAGGGAAAUUUUACUCCAGAAUUUGAGUUGUCCAAGUCCAGUAAAAAGAAAAAAGUCAGAAUAAAUGGUGAUGGCCUUGCAUGCAGAGGAUAA